UCCGUAGGCGGGCAAUUAAGUCAGAGGUGAAAUCCCACAGCUCAACCGUGGAACUGCCUUUGAUACUGAUUGUCUUGAGUUAUAGUGAAGUAGAUAGAAUGUGUAGUGUAGCGGUGAAAUGCAUAGAUAUUACACAGAAUACCGAUUGCGAAGGCAGUCUACUAACUGUAUACUGACGCUAAUGGACGAAAGCGUGGGGAGCGAACAGGAUUAGAUACCCUGGUAGUCC
rnacentral:rRNA from 1 species